CUGUUUUCCAUCUGUGUUUCACGUUAUUCUUUGGAGUCCUCGUUUUCUUUUGGGAGAAGGUACCAGUGUUGAAUCCGGAGCGUAUCCCGGUCUGGUAUGCAAUGCCAUUCCCAGACAGACAGCCCUAGGCCCUCGGUGGAGAUGACGCUAGUGCUUGAAGGUGAUGUUUUUUCCUUGGACUGCGUGGCUGGCGAGAUGGUAACGCUGAGGCGGGGAGCAGCUUCACAGCUCAUUGCCCUCAUCAGAGCAGCCGCCUGAGAAGCACCGUGCCAAAGCCAAGCGCUCGCCGGGUACCCGCUGCAUCGCUGCGAAGGGCGGGGAGCAGCGCGCCCGCUCGCCGGGGCUCCUCGGGGACCCGCUGCCUGCCAGCUUCCCUCUGCCGUCCUCUGAGGCGGCCUGUCCCCAGAUACACGUGUCUGGGAAAGUGCCAAGAUCACAGUCAAAAGGGAGUCACCAAUGAAGAUUUCUCUGUGCAGCUAAGCAAACAGCUCAUGAAGAAAACUCUAAAUGAAACAGAAACUUUCUAG
rnacentral:lncRNA from 1 species